CCUACGGGAGGCAGCAGUGGGGGAUAUUGGACAAUGGGGGGAACCCUGAUCCAGCGACGCCGCGUGAGUGAAGAAGUAUCUCGGUAUGUAAAGCUCUAUCAGCAGGGAAGAAGAAAUGACGGUACCUGAGUAAGAAGCCCCGGCUAACUACGUGCCAGCAGCCGCGGUAAUACGUAGGGGGCAAGCGUUAUCCGGAAUUACUGGGUGUAAAGGGAGCGUAGACGGUGAUGUAAGUCUGGAGUGAAAGCCCGGGGCCCAACCCCGGGACUGCUCUGGGAACUGUCCGGCUGGAGGGCGGGAGGGGCAGGCGGAAUUCCUGGUGUAGCGGUGAAAUGCGUAGAUAUCAGGAGGAACACCGGCGGCGAAGGCGGCCUGCUGGACCGCGACUGACGUUGAGGCUCGAAAGCGUGGGGAGCGAACAGGAUUAGAUACCCCAGUAGUC
rnacentral:rRNA from 1 species